GAUGAACGCUGGCGGCGUGCCUAAUACAUGCAAGUCGAGCGAACGGACGAGAAGCUUGCUUCUCUGAUGUUAGCGGCGGACGGGUGAGUAACACGUGGAUAACCUACCUAUAAGACUGGGAUAACUUCGGGAAACCGGAGCUAAUACCGGAUAAUAUUUUGAACCGCAUGGUUCAAAAGUGAAAGACGGUCUUGCUGUCACUUAUAGAUGGAUCCGCGCUGCAUUAGCUAGUUGGUAAGGUAACGGCUUACCAAGGCAACGAUGCAUAGCCGACCUGAGAGGGUGAUCGGCCACACUGGAACUGAGACACGGUCCAGACUCCUACGGGAGGCAGCAGUAGGGAAUCUUCCGCAAUGGGCGAAAGCCUGACGGAGCAACGCCGCGUGAGUGAUGCAGGUCUUCGGAUCGUAAAACUCUGUUAUUAGGGAAGAACAUAUGUGUAAGUAACUGUGCACAUCUUGACGGUACCUAAUCAGAAAGCCACGGCUAACUACGUG
rnacentral:rRNA from 1 species